UACGUAGGUGGCAAGCGUUGUCCGGAAUUACUGGGCGUAAAGCGCACGUAGGCGGCUCUUUAAGUCGGGGGUGAAAUCCUGGAGCUCAACUCCAGAACUGCCUUCGAUACUGUAGAGCUUGAGUUCGGGAGAGGUGAGUGGAACUGCGAGUGUAGAGGUGAAAUUCGUAGAUAUUCGCAAGAACACCAGUGGCGAAGGCGGCUCACUGGCCCGAUACUGACGCUGAGGUGCGAAAGCGUGGGGAGCAAACAGG
rnacentral:rRNA from 1 species